UACAGAGGGUGCAAACGUUGCUCGGAAUCACUGGGCGUAAAGGGUGCGUAGGCGGGUCUUUAAGUCAGGGGUGAAAUCCUGGAGCUCAACUCCAGAACUGCCUUUGAUACUGAGGAUCUUGAGUACGGGAGAGGUGAGUGGAACUGCGAGUGUAGAGGUGAAAUUCGUAGAUAUUCGCAAGAACACCAGUGGCGAAGGCGGCUCACUGGCCCGUAACUGACGCUGAGGCACGAAAGCGUGGGGAGCAAACAGG
rnacentral:rRNA from 1 species